rnacentral:rRNA from 1 species
GACGAACGCUGGCGGCGUGCUUAACACAUGCAAGUCGAGCGGUAAGGCCCCUUCGGGGGUACACGAGCGGCGAACGGGUGAGUAACACGUGGGUGACCUGCCCUCAGCUCUGGGAUAAGCCUGGGAAACUGGGUCUAAUACCGGAUAUGACUCCAUGACGCAUGUCGUGGGGUGGAAAGCCUUGUGCGGCUGGGGAUGGGCCCGCGGCCUAUCAGCUUGUUGGUGGGGUGAUGGCCUACCAAGGCGACGACGGGUAGCCGGCCUGAGAGGGCGACCGGCCACACUGGGACUGAGACACGGCCCAGACUCCUACGGGAGGCAGCAGUGGGGAACCUUGCGCAAUGGGCGAAAGCCUGACGCAGCGACGCCGCGUGAGGGAUGACGGCCUGGUGU